UGAGUCGGUCAGACGACCGCAGUGUUGUGGUGCUUGCAUUACAACAUUGAGGAAAGUCGGGACUUCGCAGGACAAAGUGCUGGUGAAAGCCAGAUCGGGGUGACCUGAUAUUACGUGCAACAGAAAAUAAACCGCCGAUGGAUAAUCUUCGCAAGAUUUUUGUCACAGGUAAGGAUGAAACGGUGCGGUAAGAGCGCACCAGCGCAGGUGGCAACAGUUGCGGCUUGGUACGUCACUUGAAGCAAGGCCAUGCAGAGGGCAUGAACUGUCCGUUUGCUUUCGAGCAACCCUCGGGUAGGCCGCAUAGAUGGAUGGUCGUCAGGAUCGACAGGAAACUGUUGAAACUACAAAAUCCCGCUUAUCGACCGACUCACUGU
rnacentral:RNase_P_RNA from 1 species